rnacentral:rRNA from 1 species
GUGGGGAAUAUUGGACAAUGGGCGAAAGCCUGAUCCAGCCAUGCCGCGUGAGUGAUGAAGGCCUUAGGGUUGUAAAGCUCUUUCAGUAGGGAAGAUAAUGACGGUACCUACAGAAGAAGCCCCGGCUAACUUCGUGCCAGCAGCCGCGGUAAUACGAAGGGGGCUAGCGUUGUUCGGAUUUACUGGGCGUAAAGCGCACGUAGGCGGAUUGGUCAGUUAGAGGUGAAAUCCUGGAGCUCAACUCCAGAACUGCCUUUAAUACUGCCAGUCUAGAGUCCAGAAGAGGUGAGGGGAACUCCUAGUGUAGAGGUGGAAUUCGUAGAUAUUAGGAAGAACACCAGUGGCGAAGGCGGCUCACUGGUCUGGUACUGACGCUGAGGUGCGAAAGCGUGGGGAGCAAACAGGAUUAGAAACCCGGGUAGUCC